UCUCUCUUUUUCCCCUCUAUUUUGUGUCUCUUUCUCUAUUUCACAAGAAAAUUAAUACAUUUUUCAUUACAUACGCAGACCCCGUAUCAUUGUUAUAAAAAGACAUGCACUUUGAGUCUAUGAUCAAAGAGUCAAUCAACGGACAUGAUUUAACGUGGAUCCUGAUCUGGCGGUCGGGAAGUUGCGGAUGGAAAUUUUGGUUGGACGGCCAGGAUUCUUCGGUAAUAUGUAGGUGCGUCAUAUAAAGCCCAAUUAUAGAGAAUUCUCGAACGCUCUCUUUUCUCUCUUUGCCUCUCCGAAGAUACCUAAUUACUCAGUACAGUGAACCAUAAGGGUUUCAUAUUCAACAAGGAAGAGAAGAAAAACUCAAUUCACAUCACCAUCAGCAUCCAUUAUAUUCUUCUACAUGGACUCUUGGGUCUUACCUCAACGACAACAUAAAAUUUCUACUAAUUGACGACUUCGAUAUCCAGUAUUGACGUACGCACAUUGCAAAUGGAUAAUCAAGUUGAAUUUCCAUGAAUAUAUUGAAUAUUUAAGGACUACAGUUAUUGGCCAAUACACAUUCACCUAAGACGCCACGGGUCUGUGGUGCAAUGGCAGCACGCCUAUCUCCAAAUUUCCGGCUUUUAGGAUCUUGAUUUUCAGUUCUGGAGCCUGCUCACAUGGUGCAAACGCAUCAACCAAAGAAGAAAUGCGAAGCCACAGACUCAGAUAGGGACUGAUGAGAAGGUAAAAUAGAUAAAUGAUUCGAGCCAAUGCUUACUGGAGCUUUGCACUACCUUUCUGCGCUAGGAGCUCCCAUUUAGUAAUAUAGCUCAUGUUGAGGGUAAAAGAGCUAGAAGGAUCUUGGGGCGAUACGGAUUGGUCGAGAAGAAUCAAGGAUUUGAAAGGAAACAAAGUCAAAGUUUACAGCAUCCCGUAAGACCAGAUUCGGGCAUUAUCUUCGUCCAGCGACAUGUUUGUACAACCACCCAAGGAGAAAUAGAAAAACAGGAUCUACUGGGCUCACUUUGGAUAAUAUAGUCUUAUAUGAAUUUGAUUAUCUUAGAGAUUUGGAGUUUGACUAAGCAAUUGUAUCCAUUUUCUUCAUCCAGGUAAUACUGUAUAGCUUUCCAUUUUUGUUGAAAUUCGGAUCUUAAUAGUCAGCAUUGAGAUCCGAUAGACAGUUAAUUUGCAGAAACAUUUUCAGGCUUAUUUUAACUGAAAAGUGCAACUGACUUGGAUACAUUCAAAUUAUACAUGUUGAUUAGUGUAUGUUGUUGCGCAUAGGUGACAACUCGGUCUGAAUAAAGAGAGUCUGAACUGUAGUUAACUCUCCAAUCUUUUCUCCAAGUCUGCAAAACAAUGAAACACAUAACAAUGCUAUUUGCAAGUUCCCAUCAAUUGCCUGCCUUUUUCAAAAUUUCUUUUGCAAGUUUGGAGGAAGGGGCAGUUGCUAACUUAACCGGGUUAGUAUUUGUACAUCUAAUCUAUGCUGCUUUUGGAAAUGGUGGUAUUAGAUGUGUAAAUAAUAACACGGUAUCAGUUGAGAACAACCAAUGUUUGCACCUGUUUCCCACUUGCGUUAUUUAUAGAAGCACAUUCCAUUUGCUUCGUUAAUGCAUUAUAGAUGCACAACUCACAUUUGAGCUAUUUAGGGUUCAUUUUGUUCCCGGUUGUCAGUUGUGGAUGAUAAUUUAAUGUUUAUGGUGUUUGGGUAGGUUUCACGCUUCUUUGGUAUUCCGACCACUUGCUUGGGUUAGGAUUCAGUAUUUGCAGGUUCUCUCGACAACAUUAGUUACGCAGAAAAGCCAUUCUCAGCUGGAUACUUGAAUUCGGUUACUGAAUUGAAAUCAGGCUUUCGCUUGAGCUCUUGAAACUUGACUGGUAGUUAUGAGGCUUCAUCUAAGGAGGCGUAGCCUCGAGUAUUUGUGAAGAAGCUUUGCAAAGUCCCCAUGGUGUUCCCUGCCAAGGAAAUGAGGCCCUAUAUGCCUCCUUAGUUUGUUUGUGUUGGCAGUGGAAAACUAUAUUACAAAGAUCUUGCAGGGUUUUCAGACUUCUUGGUUUGUUUACUAUGUUAUCGGCAGUGAUAUGACGGCAAACACAAACCCUCAAGGAAUCCUUAAUUUAUGCAAGGCAUGAUAGGAAGCAGGCACCUAAGAAAUAUUCUGAAUCACAUUAAUGGGGGAAUUCAGGGAACAAGCAUUACUCAUAAAGAGAGUCAUUAUUUUUAUCAACUGAGAGUGAUUUUCUCAUCUUAGAAGAAUGUCUCUCACACUGAUAAAGUCCUUGAAAUAGCCCCUGCUUCGAGGAGGGUCGUGUGUAUACUUAAGCAUGAAUUCUACAUCUUUUGCUUCCGAAAAUUAUGAUGAAGAAGUGCAGUUGUAUCCCAAAGAGUUUCUAAAUCAAGUUGAGCUUACGUAUAUCAUAAGCCCUGCCUGUUAUUCUAUAAGACAGGGCAUCCUUGAGGCACGAGAUUAAUGGUAACGCAGCUAGGGAUCAAGAAACUGAUGCAGAAGUACUAACCGGGUUUUUUGUUGGGAAGAGAACAAUAAUAAGACGGAAAGUGAUGAAUCAAGAGAUAGGAAACCAUUUUACUGCUGACAGUGCAACACUUGCGUGAUACUGGCAUGAAGGUGAAAGUAAUACUCAUUGUGGAAUGUAUUCAGUCAUCAUGAAAAAAGAAGAGUUCCUUGAUUUGUCAAAAUCUCAACCACAAGCAUCUCAGUUCUGGACAGAUAUUGCAGAAGCUUUGUCUUUUCAAAGAUCAAACGAGCGAAGCUGGCAGCUUAUCUUCUAAUUGCCCUGUCAUGCAACCAAAUAUUGAAUUGAUGGAAUCGAAGGUUUGCAUUUCCAUAAUUAAUUCUAUCUCCAAUGAUAUUGACUUCAUUUUUUCUUCUUCGAUUGUCUUAUUCUUUGUUUAGAUAAAGACGAGCAAAGUAAACAACUGUUGUCAGGGAAGAGAAAGCAUUGAAAUAUAUCCCAACAACAGUUGACAAUCUUACUUAUGGUAUACUGAUCGAGUAUCUUUAUAAUAUUUUGCUUACUGAGCAAGAAAGAUAACUUAGUGAAACAAAUGAAAAUAGUGAAUAGCUGCGACAAUCUUACAAAAGCUCCAGAUUCAGGUGUGAUCCCAUCAGCUUAGACCACCAAUCGCAGUUCAGUCAAGAUCCAACUGCUUGAUGUAACCAACAGGAGAAAGAUAUUCAUCUCGGAGUAACUGUUUAUCCAUGGUUUGUGAGAUUUGUUCAAUUUCCAUGAGUAAGAUCAAGUUACAGUGUCAGUGCUACCAACAACAAAUCAGACUUAGUGAGGUGGAAAAGCAAUGUUCACAAUAACCGAGUAUAGUUUCUCAAGAUGCUUGGAUAUUUAGCAGUGCAGUAGAGGAUAAGUGGUUGCAUUAAAUUAAAUUCAAGCAUGAACAUGUGGAAUAUCAACAAUGGAAUAAUGGUUGCAAUGUCAGUACCUAUCACAUAUCUGUAAUACUUUAUUUUAAUAGUUCCGAAUCUGUAGAUAAGGAUUUGAUUCACAGCCAACACAAAUAGAUCAACUUCAGAAUCUAUAGCUUUUUCUUU